UACAUAGGAUGCAAGCGUUGUCCGGAAUUAUUGGGCGUAAAGAGUUCGUAGGUGGUUAUCUAAGUCUGGUGUUAAAGACGGGAGCUCAACUCCCGCAUGGCAUCGGAAACUGGAUGGCUAGAGUGUGGAAGAGGUAACUGGAAUUCCUGGUGUAGCGGUGAAAUGCGCAGAUAUCAGGAGGAACACCUGUGGCGAAAGCGAGUUACUGGUCCAUUACUGACACUGAGGAACGAAAGCCAGGGUAGCAAAAGGG
rnacentral:rRNA from 1 species